CUGAGAAGAGUUUCACUGCCUCAAUUCUUCGAUCAGUUCUCGGCGUCAGUGACCAAAUUUUGAGAUUGGCAUCAUCAUUCUACUCAUAUGCUUUGCAUUCUGGUACUUUGCGAUGGCGAUUCUAAGACAUGCACACACUGGCGGAUCCAGGUAGG